rnacentral:rRNA from 1 species
UACGUAGGGUGCGAGCGUUAAUCGGAAUUACUGGGCGUAAAGCGUGCGCAGGCGGUUGUGCAAGACAGGUGUGAAAUCCCCGGGCUUAACCUGGGAACUGCACUUGUGACUGCACGACUGGAGUACGGCAGAGGGGGAUGGAAUUCCGCGUGUAGCAGUGAAAUGCGUAGAUAUGCGGAGGAACACCGAUGGCGAAGGCAGUCCCCUGGGCCUGUACUGACGCUCAUGCACGAAAGCGUGGGGAGCAAACAGG